rnacentral:piRNA from 1 species
UGAGUUUCAUUACAUACAUCUGAGGUGAU